CAGCCGCCGCGGUAAUACGUAGGGUGCGAGCGUUAAUCGGAAUUACUGGGCGUAAAGCGUGCGCAGGCGGUUGUGUAAGACAGGUGUGAAAUCCCCGGGCUUAACCUGGGAACUGCGCUUGUGACUGCACAGCUAGAGUAUGGCAGAGGGGGGUGGAAUUCCACGUGUAGCAGUGAAAUGCGUAGAGAUGUGGAGGAGCACCGAUGGCGAAGACAGCCCCCUGGGCCAAUACUGACGCUCAUGCACGAAAGCGUGGGGAGCAAACAGGAUUAGAUACCCCCGUAGUCCCUGUCUCUUAUAC
rnacentral:rRNA from 1 species